CCAUGGUUGGCUCAGUUGGUAGAGCGCUCCACUAGAAAUGGAGAGGUCCCGGGUUCGAUAACCGGACCAGGCG
rfam:Ixodes scapularis strain Wikel colony gcontig_1108378650466, whole genome shotgun sequence.